rnacentral:lncRNA from 1 species
AUCACAGUGAUUUUUCAUCACAGUUGUGUCGUUUCCAAGGGUUGUCAAGGACCCAAUCUGAAGAGGAACGGAACAGAUUCAUUGGAAGUGCAAGACAGUUUUGUGGGACUUAAGUGUGUGGAAUAGUUGAACACUCAAAAAACUUCACUUUCUUGGCUUUUUAGCUUUGGCGAUGGCGGGUUUUCCCAGCUGCGAUCUCCAGUCUUUGUUGCCGGAUGUAGCUUCUAAACUGCGGCCUUGAGGCUGUCUUCGGCUUAGACUUCCGUGCCGGAUGUGGAUGAACGACCAGCUGUUGAAUUCGUUUCACGCAGAAAUCUUCCUUCCUUGUUGAAUCGGCAGCCCCAGCGUCUGAUCCGAGCGUGCUGAGAGGGCGGGCGUGCCCUCCUUGGCGUUGGAGGCGAGUGGCUUCUGGGUAUUCGUCCUUGGCGUUGAUGGCGCGAUGAGGUGCUCUUAUAACGGUUGGAUGUAGGCAAAUGCCAUACAGGACUUACACUGUCCAGGCCGAUAAAACCGAAACGGACGCGCGCUCGCGAAAUCUCCGGGUUCCAUCUUUUGUGCGGUUAUUGAUGAUCAACACACCGAGGAUCACGUCUUAUCCAUUAUGAUACCAGGUUGGAGAAGUCCCCUCACUACUGAUGUGAAGAGUUAAAUGUAGUUCGUCAUGGAUUAUGACCAACGGUUACAGGAAAAUAUGUAUUUAAAUCGGAAAAAAUAAAAGGAGAAUGAAUAAA